rnacentral:lncRNA from 1 species
GCAUGAUAUCUUCAAAUGAAAUCAAAGAAAAGCGAGAGAAUAACAGAGCAAACACGUUCGAGCAGUGAAUGAAAACUAAAACCCAUAAGGAAAAUGCAUGAAGAACAAAGGUGAUGAGAAAUAUGAUCAGAAAAACCUACGAGGCUCGCACCUGGGAGGGCUUCUUCCCAAAAACAAAUCAGAAAACCCGUGGGUUUGGCUCCUGCUACUCUGCUCCGCUUUCCUCACCCCCUUCCUCUCUGCAGAUCCCUCGCCAGCACUCUCCAAAGGAUCCUCCUCUAACCCUCUGUCCUCCUUCCUUCUUUUCUGUCCCCUCUGUUCCCCUCUUCUUGCCGCAAGCCAGCUGUAUCCCGUCCCAUCUGCAGCCCCCAAAAGCUCUGCCUUCUCCCCUGCAGCUUCAGAGCCCCCAAACACAGCCCUCCCAUCAUGUCGAGC